GACGAACGCUGGCGGCGUGCUUAACAAAUGCAAGUCGAACGGAAAGGCCCUGCUUUUGUGGGGUGCUCGAGUGGCGAACGGGUGAGUAACACGUGAGUAACCUGCCCUUGACUUUGGGAUAACUUCAGGAAACUGGGGCUAAUACCGGAUAGGAGCUCCUGCUGCAUGGUGGGGUUUGGAAAGUUUCGGCGGUUGGGGAUGGACUCGCGCCUUAUCAGCUUGUUGGUGAGGUAGUGGCUUACCAAGGCUUUGACGGGUAGCCGGCCUGAUAGGGUGACCGGCCACAUUGGCACUGAGAUACGGCCCAGACUCCUACGGAAGGCAGCAGUGGGGAAUAUUGCACAAUGGGCGGAAGCCUGAUGCAGCAACGCCGCGUGCGGGAUGACGUCCUUCGGGUUAUAAACCGCUUUCGCCUGUGACGAAGCGUGAGUGACGGUAAUGGGUAAAGAAGCACCGGCUAACUACGUG
rnacentral:rRNA from 1 species